rnacentral:rRNA from 1 species
GACGAACGCUGGCGGCGUGCUUAACACAUGCAAGUCGAACGGAAAGGCCCUGCUUUUGUGGGGUGCUCGAGUGGCGAACGGGUGAGUAACACGUGAGUAACCUGCCCUUGACUUUGGGAUAACUUCAGGAAACUGGGGCUAAUACCGGAUAGGAGCUCCCGCUGCGUGGUGGGGGUUGGAAAGUUUCGGCGGUUGGGGAUGGACUCGCGGCUUAUCAGCUUGUUGGUGGGGUAGUGGCUUACCAAGGCUUUGACGGGUAGCCGGCCUGAGAGGGUGACCGGCCACAUUGGGACUGAGAUACGGCCCAGACUCCUACGGGAGGCAGCAGUGGGGAAUAUUGCACAAUGGGCGGAAGCCUGAUGCAGCAACGCCGCGUGCGGGAUGACGGCCUUCGGGUUGUAAACCGCUUUCGCCUGUGACGAAGCGUGAGUGACGGUAAUGGGUAAAGAAGCACCGGCUAACUACGUG